rnacentral:rRNA from 1 species
UACGGGGGGAGCAAGCGUUGUUCGGAUUUACUGGGCGUAAAGGGCGCGUAGGCGGUCAGCACAAGUCAGUUGUGAAAUCUCCGGGCUUAACUCGGAAAGGUCAACUGAUACUGUGCGACUAGAGUGCGGAAGGGGCAACUGGAAUUCCUGGUGUAGCGGUGAAAUGCGCAGAUAUCAGGAGGAACACCAAUGGCGAAGGCAGCACUCUGGGACGUGACUGACGCUGAGACGCGAAAGCGUGGGGAGCAAACAGG